rnacentral:rRNA from 1 species
UCCGUAGGUGAACCUGCGGAAGGAUCAUUAGUGAUUGGCGCAAGCCUUUACCUUUCAUACACCUGUGCACCGUUGGUCUCCGGACCUUUACAAACAAAUAGUAACGAACUUAAAACAUUAUAAUAAAUAAAACUUUUAACAACGGAUCUCUUGGCUCUCGCAUCGAUGAAGAACGCAGCGAAAUGCGAUAAGUAAUGUGAAUUGCAGAAUUCAGUGAAUCAUCGAAUCUUUGAACGCACAUUGCGCCCCUUGGUAUUCCGAGGGGCAUGCCUAUUCGAGCGUCAUUAUCACCCCUCAAGCCUAGCUUGGUGUUGGGACCUGCUGUCAAGGCAGUCUCUAAAAUCAGUGGCAGUGCUGUCAGGCUCUAAGCGUAGUAAAUUCGUCGCUAUAGGGUCCUGGUGGAUACUCGUCAAAACCCCCCCAUUUUUUAAUGAUUGACCUCGGAUUAGGUAGGGAUACCCGCUGAACUUAAGCAUAUCAAUAAGCGGAGGA